rnacentral:sRNA from 1 species
GCUGGGCAUGGUGGCCCAUACCUGUAAUCCCAGUGACAUGAGAGGCUGAGGCAGGAGGAUCACAAGAUCAAAGCCAGUCUUAGCAAUUUAGCAAGGCCCUGCGCAACUAAGCAAGACCCUGUCUCAA